rnacentral:rRNA from 1 species
UGGGGAAUUUUGCACAAUGGGGGAAACCCUGAUGCAGCGACGCCGCGUGAUUUAGAAGGCCUUCGGGUUGUAAAAAUCUUUUCUAUGGGAAGAAAAUGACAGUACCAUAGGAAUAAGGACCGGCUAAUCACGUGCCAGCAGCCGCGGUAAUACGUAAGGUCCGAGCGUUGUCCGGAAUCAUUGGGCGUAAAGGGUACGUAGGCGGGUAAGCAAGUUAGAAGUGAAAUCCUAUAGCUCAACUAUAGUAAGCUUUUAAAACUGCUCAGCUUGAGGUAUGGAAGGGAAAGUGGGAUUCCUAGUGUAGCGGUGAAAUGCGCAGAUAUUAGGAGGAAUACCGGUGGCGAAGGCGACUUUCUGGCCAUAACCUGACGCUGAGGUACGAAAGCGUGGGUAGCAAACAGG